UAGAAUAUAAGGGAGUUUCACCUAAUCGUUAUGAACUUAUAUUCACAAGUAGUGAAGGUUGCUAGUCACAAUCACGUUAAGUAAAUUCUUGGCAUAAGUUUCGUGCAAAUCAUAGUAACGAGUGCCUCGUCAAUGCUUAUGUUUUUCAUAGAACUUAAUGAUUCUUGCUUGUAUCUCUAUUAUGCAAUUCAUGUAGGGAACUUGUAGGGAAUGUUUUGGGUUGUCGUAUGCGAUCAUCCAACCUAAUAACUUGUGGAAAAACUGAGGGUUAAUUAGUGCAAUUCAUGGUUAAUUUGGGGCGUUGAGUAUUCAUAGUUUAUCGAAAAGCAACUGGAAAUCGUUUUGUAUGCAAGUGUGACAUGUGUGGAGAAGAACCUCCUAGCUAGCUUUCCAUCCAUAAGUUUCAUUCAAAUUCAUUUACAAUAUGUUUUGUUUUUACGUUUUCAAGUCAGUUUUCAAGUGAUUUAGCAAUCCCUCCUAAUCCCCGGCCUAGAACGAUCCCUACUUACAUACUUUACUACAAUUGAUAAAAAGAGGGUUUAAUUUGUGUGCUUAUAUAUUUCGCAUCAAUUGUGUGGUUAGGGAUGAAGAAUGACUUAGUGGGAUUAUUGGACCACACACACACAACGUGCAGAACCCUUUCCCUUUCUCUUCCCGUGUCUGCUCUCUCUCUCUCCGUCGCAGUUUCUCACUCUCUCUCUCAAACGUACGACCAAGACCAAAACCCUUCAAAACGUCGCGGAUUGACGCCAAAAAGGUAAGAUUCUUCAGCCUUGAAACCCCCUGAGUUGAAUGGUACACUUUAUGGAGCUUAGAACCUUCGAUAUCGUCGUGGAACCGUAACCCCCGAAAGUGUGCACUGUUCAUACACAAGUAAAAUUGUGUGUUUCAGGGAAUUUCAAGCCCAUAACGAGCUUAAGGAGGUCCUCACGAGGCUAGGGGUGCUUCGUUGGUGGGAAUUGGAUGUCGGAGGACCGAGAACGGAACUUCUCAAUUUAGGCCAGAACUAUCGAGGCUUUUGAUGCGUAAAAUAACUAAGCACACAAAUUAAACCCUCUUUUUAUCAAUUGUAGUAAAGUAUGUAAGUAGGGAUCGUUCUAGGCCGGGGAUUAGGAAGGAUUGCUAAAUCACUUGGAAACUGACUUGAAAA
rnacentral:lncRNA from 1 species